rnacentral:lncRNA from 1 species
GAGCUUCGUCUAUCUCUAGACCCCAGCGUCGAAGGGUCUUCAGCACACGGGCGCCUGAACUGGCUGCACUCCUAGCUGUAACCAGCCAUCAUCCAUGGAAAGUCCAGAUUAGCCUCCUGGAUGGAUUUGUGAGAAGCAGAGCCUCUCCUCCAAGCCAGAGAAGCCAUUGUGUACCAGCUCGCCCUAUUAGCAUACCAUGUGCCCAGGAGUAAACAGUGCCCAGAGAUGCUCUCUGCACCACACCACCACUGCUGGGGUCGGGGAGCGGAGUUGGUGAUCCAGGAAUGUUUUCCUGUUUCUUCAGUGCCUCUUUCAGUGAUAUGAAGUUAAAACCAGAGCUGGCACAGAACACAUUUAAUAAGGAUACAGUUCGAGGAGAAGGACUGCCCUAGUCAAAGGGCUUUUCAGGAAAGUGGCCCUACUCAGACCCCUUCUACAGCUUUGGAAUCAGCACACGCGCUGUCAGCACCCACCUGCAGCAUA